rnacentral:rRNA from 1 species
UACGUAGGGUGCAGGCGUUAAUCGGAAUUACUGGGCGUAAAGCGUGCGCAGGCGGUUUGCUAAGAGAGAUGUGAAAUCCCCGGGCUUAACCUGGGAACUGCGUUUCUAACUGGCAGGCUUGAGACCGGGAGAGGUGAGUGGAAUUCCCAGUGUAGCGGUGAAAUGCGUAGAUAUUGGGAGGAACACCAGUGGCGAAGGCGGCUCACUGGACCGGUACUGACGCUGAGGCGCGAAAGCGUGGGGAGCAAACGGG